UAGGGAAUCUUCCGCAAUGGGCGAAAGCCUGACGGAGCAACGCCGCGUGAGUGAUGAAGUUCUUCGGAUCGUAAAACUCUGUUAUUAGGGAAGAACAAAUGUGUAAGUAACUAUGCACGUCUUGACGGUACCUAAUCAGAAAGCCACGGCUAACUACGUGCCAGCAGCCGCGGUAAUACGUAGGUGGCAAGCGUUAUCCGGAAUUAUUGGGCGUAAAGCGCGCGUAGGCGGUUUUUUAAGUCUGAUGUGAAAGCCCACGGCUCAACCGUGGAGGGUCAUUGGAAACUGGAAAGCUUGAGUGCAGAAGAGGAAAGUGGAAUUCCAUGUGUAGCGGUGAAAUGCGCAGAGAUAUGGAGGAACACCAGUGGCGAAGGCGACUUUCUGGUAUGUAACUGACGCUGAUGUGCGAAAGCGUGGGGAUCAAACAGG
rnacentral:rRNA from 1 species